AGUGAACGCUGCGGCGUGUUUAACACAUGCAAGUCGAACGAGAACGGAUUAUAGCUUGCUAUAAUUGUCAGCUAAGUGGCGCACGGGUGAGUAAUGUAUAGGUAAUAUGCCUCUUACUAAGGGAUAACAAAUGGAAACGUUUGCUAAUACCUUAUACUCCUUAUUAACAGAAGUUAAUAAGGGAAAGAUUUAUUGGUAAGAGAUUAGCCUGUAUUGUAUCAGUUAGUUGGUGGGGUAAUGGCUUACCAAGACUAUGACACAUAACUGGUUUGAGAGGAUGAUCAGUCACACUGGAACUGAGACACGGUCCAGACUCCUACGGGAGGCAGCAGUGGGGAAUAUUGCACAAUGGACGAAAGUCUGAUGCAGCAACGCCGCGUGGAGGAUGACACAUUUCGGUGCGUAAACUCCUUUUAUAUGAGAAGAUAAUGACGGUAUUAUAUGAAUAAGCACCGGCUAACUCCGUGCCAGCAGCCGCGGUAACAC
rnacentral:rRNA from 1 species